GGUUGCGAUCAUACCAGCACUAAUGCACCGGAUCCCAUCAGAACUCCGCAGUUAAGCGUGCUUGGGCGAGAGUAGUACUAGUGUGACACCCCAGGAUAACCGGGAAAACCACGCAACUUGACUA
rnacentral:rRNA from 1 species